UGAACAAACGCUGGCGGCGUGUCUUAAGCAUGCAAGUUGAGCGGCAAGGAGGAGAGAUCCUCCCUAGAGCAGCGGACUGGUGAGUAACGCGUGGGUAAUCUAUCUUAGGCAUGGGGGAUAGUCACUAGAAAUAGUGGGUAAUACCGAAUAAGUUCCAUAAGGGGAGGACUUAUGGAAGAAAGGUGCUACGGCACUGGCCUUAGGUGAGCUCGCGUCCCAUUAGCUAGUUGGUGAGGUAAAGGCCCACCAAGGCGAUGAUGGGUAGCCGGCCUGAGAGGGUGUACGGCCACACUGGGACUGAGAUACGGCCCAGACUCCUACGGGAGGCAGCAGCUAAGAAUAUUCCGCAAUGGACGGAAGUCUGACGGAGCGACGCCGCGUGGAUGAAGAAGGCCGAAAGGUUGUAAAGUUCUUUUGCUAGGGGAGAAUAAGUGUGGGAGGGAAUGCCUGCACGAUGACAAGGACUAGCGAAUAAGUCCCGGCCAACUACGUG
rnacentral:rRNA from 1 species